AUUGAACGCUGGCGGCAUGCUUUACACAUGCAAGUCGAACGGUAACAGGUUAAGCUGACGAGUGGCGAACGGGUGAGUAAUGCAUCGGAACGUGCCCGGUCGUGGGGGAUAACGCAGCGAAAGCUGCGCUAAUACCGCAUACGAUCUGAGGAUGAAAGCGGGGGACCGUAAGGCCUCGCGCGAUCGGAGCGGCCGAUGUCAGAUUAGGUAGUUGGUGGGGUAAAGGCUCACCAAGCCGACGAUCUGUAGCGGGUCUGAGGGGAUGAUCCGCCACACUGGGACUGAGACACGGCCCAGACUCCUACGGGAGGCAGCAGUGGGGAAUUUUGGACAAUGGGCGCAAGCCUGAUCCAGCCAUGCCGCGUGCGGGACGAAGGCCUCGGUUGUAAG
rnacentral:rRNA from 1 species